rnacentral:rRNA from 1 species
AGAGUUUGAUCCUGGCUCAGCGCGAACGCUGUCGGCGUGCCUAACACAUGCAAGUCGUGGGGCAGCAGGCCGGUUCCUUCGGGAACUGGUGCUGGCGACCGGCGAACGGGUGAGUAACGCGUGAGCAACCUACCCCGAGGAGGGGGAUAACCCGGGGAAACCCGGGCUAAUACCCCAUAAGCGCACGGCCCGCAUGGGCUGUGUGAAAAGGUGGCCUCUGGGCUCUGCCCAUGCUGCCGCCUCGGGAUGGGCUCGCGUCCCAUCAGGUAGUUGGUGGGGUAACGGCCUACCAAGCCUGCGACGGGUAGCCGGCCUGAGAGGGUGGUCGGCCACAGCGGGACUGAGACACGGCCCGCACCCCUACGGGGGGCAGCAGUGGGGAAUCGUGGGCAAUGGGCGAAAGCCUGACCCCGCGACGCCGCGUGGGGGAAGAAGCCCUUCGGGGUGUAAACCCCUGUCGGGCCGGACGAAGCGGCCGGGGGUUAAGAGCCCCCGGUCGUGACGGUACGGCCAGAGGAAGGGACGGCUAACUACGUGCCAGCAGCCGCGGUAAUACGUAGGUCCCGAGCGUUGCGCGGAGUUACUGGGCGUAAAGCGUCCGCAGCCGGCCCCGCAAGCGGGUUGUCAAAGCCCACGGCUCAACCGUGGAAUGGCAUCCCGAACUGCGGGGCUUGAGGCUUGCUCGGGCAGGCGGAAUUCCCGGUGUAGCGGUGAAAUGCGUAGAUAUCGGGAGGAACACCGGUGGGGAAGCCGGCCUGCUGGGGCUAGCCUGACGGUCAGGGACGAAAGCCGGGGGAGCAAACCGGAUUAGAUACCCGGGUAGUCCCGGCCGUAAACCAUGGGCGCUAGGCGUUGUCCCGUAAGGGGCAGUGCCGAAGCUAACGCGUUAAGCGCCCCGCCUGGGGAGUACGGCCGCAAGGCUGAAACUCAAAGGGAUUGGCGGGGGCCCGCACAACCGGUGGAGCGUCGGGUUUAAUCGGAUGCUAACCCUAGAACCUUACCCGGGCUUGACAUGCACGGGGAGCCACCCGAAAGGGUGGUGUGCCCACCGUAAGGUGGGACCCGUGCACAGGUGGUGCAUGGCCGUCGUCAGCUCGUGCCGUGAGGUGUUGGGUUAAGUCCCGCAACGAGCGCAACCCCUGCCCCUAGUUGCUACCCCGCAAGGGGAGCACUCUAGGGGGACCGCCGGCGAUAAGCCGGAGGAAGGGGGGGAUGACGUCAGGUCGGCAUGCCCUAUAUGCCCGGGGCUACACCGGCGCUACAGUGCCCGGGACAGUGGGUUGCGACCCCGCAAGGGGGAGCUAAUCCUUAAACCCGGGCGAGGUGCGGAUCGGGGGCUGCAACUCGCCCCCGUGAAGCCGGAAUCGGUAGUAACGGCGUAUCAGCAAUGUCGCCGUGAAUACGUUCUCGGGCCUUGCACACACCGCCCGUCACGCCACGGAAGUCGGCCGUGUCGGAAGUCCCCGAGCUAACCGGCCCCCCUUCGGGGGGGCCGGGGGCAGGGGCCGAUGACACGGCCGGCGACUGGGGCGAAGUCGUAACAAGGUAGCCGUAGGGGAACCUGCGGCUG